GGGUUGUGAGGUUAAGCGACUAAGCGUACACGGUGGAUGCCCUGGCAGUCAGAGGCGAUGAAGGACGUGCUAAUCUGCGAUAAGCGUCGGUAAGGUGAUAUGAACCGUUAUAACCGGCGAUUUCCGAAUGGGGAAACCCAGUGUGUUUCGACACACUAUCAUUAACUGAAUCCAUAGGUUAAUGAGGCGAACCGGGGGAACUGAAACAUCUAAGUACCCCGAGGAAAAGAAAUCAACCGAGAUUCCCCCAGUAGCGGCGAGCGAACGGGGAGGAGCCCAGAGCCUGAAUCAGUGUGUGUGUUAGUGGAAGCGUCUGGAAAGGCGCGCGAUACAGGGUGACAGCCCCGUACACAAAAAUGCACAUGCUGUGAGCUCGAUGAGUAGGGCGGGACACGUGGUAUCCUGUCUGAAUAUGGGGGGACCAUCCUCCAAGGCUAAAUACUCCUGACUGACCGAUAGUGAACCAGUACCGUGAGGGAAAGGCGAAAAGAACCCCGGCGAGGGGAGUGAAAAAGAACCUGAAACCGUGUACGUACAAGCAGUGGGAGCACGCUUCGGCGUGUGACUGCGUACCUUUUGUAUAAUGGGUCAGCGACUUAUAUUCUGUAGCAAGGUUAACCGAAUAGGGGAGCCGAAGGGAAACCGAGUCUUAACUGGGCGUUAAGUUGCAGGGUAUAGACCCGAAACCCGGUGAUCUAGCCAUGGGCAGGUUGAAGGUUGGGUAACACUAACUGGAGGACCGAACCGACUAAUGUUGAAAAAUUAGCGGAUGACUUGUGGCUGGGGGUGAAAGGCCAAUCAAACCGGGAGAUAGCUGGUUCUCCCCGAAAGCUAUUUAGGUAGCGCCUCGUGAAUUCAUCUCCGGGGGUAGAGCACUGUUUCGGCAAGGGGGUCAUCCCGACUUACCAACCCGAUGCAAACUGCGAAUACCGGAGAAUGUUAUCACGGGAGACACACGGCGGGUGCUAACGUCCGUCGUGAAGAGGGAAACAACCCAGACCGCCAGCUAAGGUCCCAAAGUCAUGGUUAAGUGGGAAACGAUGUGGGAAGGCCCAGACAGCCAGGAUGUUGGCUUAGAAGCAGCCAUCAUUUAAAGAAAGCGUAAUAGCUCACUGGUCGAGUCGGCCUGCGCGGAAGAUGUAACGGGGCUAAACCAUGCACCGAAGCUGCGGCAGCGACGCUGAUGCGUUGUUGGGUAGGGGAGCGUUCUGUAAGCCUGUGAAGGUGUACUGUGAGGUAUGCUGGAGGUAUCAGAAGUGCGAAUGCUGACAUAAGUAACGAUAAAGCGGGUGAAAAGCCCGCUCGCCGGAAGACCAAGGGUUCCUGUCCAACGUUAAUCGGGGCAGGGUGAGUCGACCCCUAAGGCGAGGCCGAAAGGCGUAGUCGAUGGGAAACAGGUUAAUAUUCCUGUACUUGGUGUUACUGCGAAGGGGGGACGGAGAAGGCUAUGUUGGCCGGGCGACGGUUGUCCCGGUUUAAGCGUGUAGGCUGGUUUUCCAGGCAAAUCCGGAAAAUCAAGGCCGAGGCGUGAUGACGAGGCACUACGGUGCUGAAGCAACAAAUGCCCUGCUUCCAGGAAAAGCCUCUAAGCAUCAGGUAACAUCAAAUCGUACCCCAAACCGACACAGGUGGUCAGGUAGAGAAUACCAAGGCGCUUGAGAGAACUCGGGUGAAGGAACUAGGCAAAAUGGUGCCGUAACUUCGGGAGAAGGCACGCUGAUAUGUAGGUGAAGUCCCUCGCGGAUGGAGCUGAAAUCAGUCGAAGAUACCAGCUGGCUGCAACUGUUUAUUAAAAACACAGCACUGUGCAAACACGAAAGUGGACGUAUACGGUGUGACGCCUGCCCGGUGCCGGAAGGUUAAUUGAUGGGGUCAGCGCAAGCGAAGCUCUUGAUCGAAGCCCCGGUAAACGGCGGCCGUAACUAUAACGGUCCUAAGGUAGCGAAAUUCCUUGUCGGGUAAGUUCCGACCUGCACGAAUGGCGUAAUGAUGGCCAGGCUGUCUCCACCCGAGACUCAGUGAAAUUGAACUCGCUGUGAAGAUGCAGUGUACCCGCGGCAAGACGGAAAGACCCCGUGAACCUUUACUAUAGCUUGACACUGAACAUUGAGCCUUGAUGUGUAGGAUAGGUGGGAGGCUUAGAAGUGUGGACGCCAGUCUGCAUGGAGCCGACCUUGAAAUACCACCCUUUAAUGUUUGAUGUUCUAACGUGGACCCGUGAUCCGGGUUGCGGACAGUGUCUGGUGGGUAGUUUGACUGGGGCGGUCUCCUCCUAAAGAGUAACGGAGGAGCACGAAGGUUGGCUAAUCCUGGUCGGACAUCAGGAGGUUAGUGCAAUGGCAUAAGCCAGCUUGACUGCGAGCGUGACGGCGCGAGCAGGUGCGAAAGCAGGUCAUAGUGAUCCGGUGGUUCUGAAUGGAAGGGCCAUCGCUCAACGGAUAAAAGGUACUCCGGGGAUAACAGGCUGAUACCGCCCAAGAGUUCAUAUCGACGGCGGUGUUUGGCACCUCGAUGUCGGCUCAUCACAUCCUGGGGCUGAAGUAGGUCCCAAGGGUAUGGCUGUUCGCCAUUUAAAGUGGUACGCGAGCUGGGUUUAGAACGUCGUGAGACAGUUCGGUCCCUAUCUGCCGUGGGCGCUGGAGAACUGAGGGGGGCUGCUCCUAGUACGAGAGGACCGGAGUGGACGCAUCACUGGUGUUCGGGUUGUCAUGCCAAUGGCACUGCCCGGUAGCUAAAUGCGGAAGAGAUAAGUGCUGAAAGCAUCUAAGCACGAAACUUGCCCCGAGAUGAGUUCUCCCUGACCCUUUAAGGGUCCUGAAGGAACGUUGAAGACGACGACGUUGAUAGGCCGGGUGUGUAAGCGCAGCGAUGCGUUGAGCUAACCGGUACUAAUGAACCGUGAGGCUUAACCUUACAACGCCGAAG
rnacentral:rRNA from 1 species